UAGGGAAUCUUCGGCAAUGCACGAAAGUCUGACCGAGCAACGCCGCGUGAGUGAAGAAGGUUUUCGGAUCGUAAAACUCUGUUGUUAGAGAAGAACAAGGACGUUAGUAACUGAACGUCCCCUGACGGUAUCUAACCAGAAAGCCACGGCUAACUACGUGCCAGCAGCCGCGGUAAUACGUAGGUGGCAAGCGUUGUCCGGAUUUAUUGGGCGUAAAGCGAGCGCAGGCGGUUUCUUAAGUCUGAUGUGAAAGCCCCCGGCUCAACCGGGGAGGGUCAUUGGAAACUGGGAGACUUGAGUGCAGAAGAGGAGAGUGGAAUUCCAUGUGUAGCGGUGAAAUGCGUAGAUAUAUGGAGGAACACCAGUGGCGAAGGCGGCUCUCUGGUCUGUAACUGACGCUGAGGCUCGAAAGCGUGGGGAGCAAACAG
rnacentral:rRNA from 1 species